ensembl:lncRNA LINC01191 long intergenic non-protein coding RNA 1191
GGCAGGUGAAUCACUUGAAGCCGGGAGGUGAAGGCCGCAGUAACGCUGUUCCCUGCAUUGGAUGAAGUGCUCCCCACCAAACUCUCUCACCGGAGAGGGUGGGAUCUGCGGGCUCCCUGGGUGGCUUGAUUUCGACACCCUGUGGGCUGCCUUCCACUCUGGUACUUUCCUCUGCCUGCUGAUGCUUGAAAUUCCUUGAACCGGCCACACACACCUGCUUUCUGGAAUCAGAACACUGGAAAGGCUUCCUGGGACGGGAGAAGAGUGAUUUACAUUCCUGCCGAGGUGUAAAGCUGCGGAUGGCAGGUUCUCUCCUGAGAACCGGCUUCAACUAGGAGGAGGAGGUUGGAAGCAGGACCCCGAGCUGACCUGUUGACCAGGAGAGGAGCAGCAGUGAGGAUGCCAGAGUUCAUGGGUUUCUAGAAGACAAGUUUUCAACUGCAGAUACAAACAUCAGGACGUCAAUGUAUCUGCUAGGAGACACCCGGACAGUGUUGAGAACACAGAACCUGGAGGCUAAACCCCCAGCUUUCUAUGCCAGCUGAGAGUCUGUGGGCACAUUACUCAGCGUCUCUGAACCUCAUGCUCCUCCCCUGUGACAUGUAGAUUGCUAAACCCAUCUCACAGGGCUAUCUUCUGCAUUUAAAGAAUAAAAUAACACAUGAGGGGUCUA